GGCGUAGGGUCCAAGCGUUGUCCGGAUUUACUGGGCGUAAAGAGCGCGUAGGCGGUCCGUUAAGUGUAGAGUGAAAUCUCUGGGCUCACCCCAGAAACUGCUCUGCAUACUGGCGGACUUGAGGGAUGCAGAGGUUUGUGGAAUUCCUGGUGUAGCGGUGAAAUGCGUUGAUAUCAGGAGGAACACCCAUGGCGAAGGCAGCAAACUGGGCAUCAUCUGACGCUGAGGCGCGAAAGCGUGGGUAGCAAACAGG
rnacentral:rRNA from 1 species